GAUGAAGAACGUAGCGAAAUGCGAUAAGUAAUGUGAAUUGCAGAAUUCAGUGAAUCAUCGAAUCUUUGAACGCAUCUUGCGCUCCUUGGUAUUCUGAGGAGCAUGCCUGUUUGAGUGUCAUUAAAUUCUCAACUACACAGACUUUGAAUUGGUGUGGCUUGGAUUUGGGGGGAAAAUUGUUGUGGGCUUUUUGUAUAGUCUGCUCCCCUGAAAUUGAUUAGCGGUACCUUUGUGGAACUGUCUACAGGUGUGAUAAUUAUCUACAUCUUAGACAUCUGCUGGAAUGCUGCUUUCUAAACCUUACUUGUAUUGACAAUCUUGACCUCAAAUCAGGUAGGACUACCCGCUGAACUUAAGCAUAUCAAUAAGCGGAGGA
rnacentral:misc_RNA from 1 species